AUGAACGCUGGCGGCGUGCUUAACACAUGCAAGUCGAACGGAAAGGCUCCUGCUUGCAGGGGUACUCGAGUGGCGAACGGGUGAGUAACACGUGGGUGAUCUGCCCUGCACUUCGGGAUAAGCCUGGGAAACUGGGUCUAAUACCGGAUAGGACGAUGGUUUGGAUGCCAUUGUGGAAAGUUUUUUCGGUGUGGGAUGAGCUCGCGGCCUAUCAGCUUGUUGGUGGGGUAAUGGCCUACCAAGGCGUCGACGGGUAGCCGGCCUGAGAGGGUGUACGGCCACAUUGGGAUUGAGAUACGGCCCAGACUCCUACGGGAGGCAGCAGUGGGGAAUAUUGCACAAUGGGCGCAAGCCUGAUGCAGCGACGCCGCGUGGGGGAUGACGGCCUUCGGGUUGUAAACUCCUUUCGCUAGGGACGAAGCGCAAGUGACGGUACCUGGAGAAGAAGCACCGGCUAACUACGUG
rnacentral:rRNA from 1 species